rnacentral:lncRNA from 13 species
UUUUUCUUUACUGGCUAUUUUGUCUUUCAACUGCUAUAUCUUUUUAUUGUGAUUCAUAGCUUCCUUACAUUGGGUUUCAGUGUUCUCCUGGAUCUCAGUGAUCUUUGUUCUUAUCCAUAUUCUGAAUUCUAUUUCUGUCAUUUCAGCCAUUUCAGGUCAGAAAAGAACCCUUGCUGGAGAAUUACUGUGGCCAUUUGGAGGAAAGAAGACUGGUUUUUUUGAGUUGUCAGAGUUCCUGUGCUGGUUCUUUCUCAUAUUUCUGGGCUGAUGUUCCUUCAAUCUUUGAAUUUGCUGUCCUUUGGAUUAUUUUUAUUUUCUUUUAUCCUAUUUGAUGACCUUGGAUGUUUGAUUGUAACAUAAGGUGGGUAGUUGAGUAGCUCCAUUUGUGUAAAAUUUUAGGGGGCUAAGGCCCAGUUCAGGACUCCUGGACUGCAUGAUUUAACUCUGGGGGACUGAUAUUGGUCCUGUGUUUUGUCUGUUGGCUCCUCAAGAUUAGAAAUCUGCUGCACGGGAGAGGACUCAAGAUGGUGCUGUGAGAACAACCCAGGAUUGGAGCUCGCAUUGAAUCUGCAAACGUUGCCUAGGAGAAAGCAACCAUGAUGGGCAUGGAAUGAUUGUGCAAGUUCACAGAAGAGAGGAUUUCAGACAGGGUAUAAGACAUGACCAAAUCAUGAUACUGCUUGACCUCUACUCCAGACUCCUCUCACCAGAUGUCUUGAAUUUGGAGAAAAUUAAUUACGAAUUACAUUUAGAACAUGUUGGUUGAAGAUACCUGAUGUUGAAAAUCAGAGUAAAAGGUAUGAAUUUAAGGGUUACAAAUUGUGAUGUGGGUGUGCAACAGAUAGCAUAGAAAGAGAAGGGAAG